ensembl:lncRNA
GGGGCGUCCGUCUGUCCGUCCGUCAGUCCGUCAGUCCGGCCGCCCGGCCGCCCAGCUGUCUGUCUGUCCGUCCGUUCGUCUGCCCUUCCGUCCGCCCAGCCACCCACGUGUCUGUCUGUCUGUCCGUCCGUUCGUCUGCCCGUUCAUCCGUCCGUCCUUCCACCCGGGUGCCCACCCGUGUGUCCGUCCAUCUGUCUGUCCGUCAGUCCGUCCACCCGGCUGCCCAGCUGUCUGUCUGUCCGUCCAUCCUUCCACCCGGGUGCCCACCCAUGCGUCCGUCCGUCUGUCCGUCAGUCCGUCCACCCGGCUGCCCAGCUGUCUGUCUGUCCGUCCGUCCUUCCACCCGGGUGCCCACCCAUGUGUCCGUCCGUUCGUCUGUCUGUCUCUCCAUCCAUCCAGCUGUCUGUCUGUCCGUCCGGUCGUCUGCCCGUCCAUCCGUCCGUCCUUCCACCCGGGUGCCCACCCGUGUGUCCGUCCGUCCGUACAUCUGUCCGUCAGUCCGUCCGCCCAGCCACCCAGCUGUCUGUCUGUCCGUCCGUUCGUCUGCCCAUCCGUCCUUCCACCCGGGUGCCCACCCAUGUGUCCGUUCGUCUGUCCAUCUGUCCAGCUGUCUGUCUGUCCCUUCGUCUGUCCGUCCAUCCAGGUGCCCAUCCAUGUGUCUGUCCAUCUGUCCGUCUAUUCGUCCAUCUGUCCAUCCAUCUGUCUGUCCAUCCAGGUGCCCAUCUAUGUGUGUCUGUCCGUCCGUCCAUCUGUCUGUCCAUCCAGGUGCCCAUCCAUGUGUCUGUCCAUCUGUCCGUCCGUUCGUUCAUCUGGCUGUCCAUCCAGGUGCCCGUCCAUGUGUCUGUCUGUCCUUCUGUCCAUGACUGUCCGUCCAGGUGCCCAUCUGUCCGUCUGAUCUGUCCGUUCGUCCAUCCAUCCGUCCAUCUGUCCGUCCAUCCAGGUGCCCAUCCGUGUGUCUGUUCGUCCACUCAUCCAUGUCUGUCCAUCCCGUCUGUCUGUCCAUCCAUUCAUCCGUCCGUCCGUCCAUCCAGGUGCCCAUCUGUCUGUCUAUCUGUUCGCCCCCAUCCAGGUGCUCAUCCAUGUGUCUGUCCGUCCAUCCGUCCAUGUCUGCCCAACCAGGUGCCCAUCCGUCCGUCUGUCCAUCCAUCCAGGUGCCCAUCUACGUGUCUGUCUGUCCAUCCGCCCGUCUGCCCAUCCAGGUGCCCAUCUGUCUGUCCGUCCUUUCAUCUGUCCAUCCCGGUGUCUAUCUGUCCAUCUUUCCGUCCAGAUGUCAGUCCAUCCAGAUGUCUGUCUGUCCAUCAAUCCAGGUGUCUGUUCAUCUGUCCGUCUGUCCAUCUGUCCAUCCGUUUGCCCAUCCAGAUGUCCACCUGCCUGCCUGUCCAUCUGUCCAUCCAGGUGGCUGUCUGCUUGUCUGUCUGCUUGUCCCUCUGUCUGGCCAACUGCCCGUCCGUCCAGUUGUCCCUCUGUCUGUCUGCUUGUCUCUCUGUCCGGCUGUCUUUUCAUCUGUCUGUCAGUCAGUCAACUGUCAGUCUGUCUGUCCACCUGGUUGUCCACCUGCCGUCUGUCCGUCCUUCUGAUUAUUCCUGCCUGUCCGCCCAGUUGUUCCUUUGUCUGUCUGUCUGGUUGUUCGACUGUCCCUCCAUCUGAUUGUCCAUCUGUCUGUCCAUCCGGUUGUCCCUCCAUCCAGCGGUCUGUCCAUCUCUGCCUGUUCCUCUGCCUGCCUGUCUGUCUGUCCGUCUGGUUAUCCUUCUCUCUGUCCGUCCAGCUGUCCCCCUGUCCAGCUGUCUGUCCACCCGGUUGUUCCUCUGUCCGUCUGUCUGUCUGGUUGUCUGUUUGCCCAGUUGUCCGCCUGUCUGGGUGCCGCUUUGUCCAGCUGUCCAUCCAGGUGUCUGUCUGUCCUGUCAUCCCUCUGUCCAUCCGUUUGUCCACCCACUUGCCCAUCUUUCUGUCUGUCCAGGUGUCUGUCUGUCUGUCUGUCUGUCUGUCCAGUUUGGCAUCCAUCUGCGUGUCCCCGUUGUCCGUCUUUCUGUCCAGCUGUCCGUCCGUCCGGGUCUCCACCCAUCUGGGUGUCCAUGCGCGUGUCCGUCUUUCCAUCCAUCCAAUUGUCCGCGCAGCUGUCCGCCUGUCUGUCUGUCCGUCUGUCUGUCCAGCUCUCCAUCCACCCAUGGGAGAGUCCGUCUGUCUGUCCGUCUGUCCGUCUGCCCACCACUCCCCCUUCCUGUUACCCGUUCGUCCACACGUCCGUCUGUCUGUCUGUCCAUCCCACACCCUUCCAGCUGUCCAUUCGUCCGUCCGUCCGUCCGGGGUGGGAGCAAUGUUGGGGGGGGGCACAA